GAUGAACGCUAGCGGCAGGCCUAACACAUGCAAGUCGAGGGGCAGCGCGGUGUAGCAAUACACUGGCGGCGACCGGCGCACGGGUGAGUAACACGUAUGGAACCUGCCCUUUACUGGGGA
rnacentral:rRNA from 1 species